GCAUGGAUUUGGAUUUAUGGCAGGCUCAUCUCCCUGGGCCUCUCAUAGUGUCCCAUGCUAGAGCAAAUUGUGGCUCCUAACCAUUGCCCAGCCUCCGUGCUGGCACUGAAAUGGGUCACACUGUG
rnacentral:snoRNA from 7 species